AUACGAAGGGGGCUAGCGUUGUUCGGAAUUACUGGGCGUAAAGCGCGCGUAGGCGGACUGAUCAGUUGGGGGUGAAAUCCCAGGGCUUAACCCUGGAACUGCCUCCAAUACUGUCAGUCUUGAGUUCGGGAGAGGUGAGUGGAAUUCCUAGUGUAGAGGUGAAAUUCGUAGAUAUUAGGAAGAACACCAGUGGCGAAGGCGACUCACUGGCCCGAUACUGACGCUGAGGCGCGAAAGCGUGGGGAGCAAACAGGAUUAGAAACCCUAGUAGUCC
rnacentral:rRNA from 1 species